UCUCUCUCUCUCUCUCUCUAUAUAUCGUCUCUCCCUCUCCCUUCUCUCUAGAAUCUUCUAGACCUCUCUUCUCCGACGAACUCCAUUGCCUCUCCGACCACAACCCCACCAGAAUCCAUGGAUUCUCAGGCCAUAGAUGACAUAUACUCACCUCCUAUUACUCCUGUGUGUAUGAUGCUUGAAGGUUCGAGACCAGACCUUCGCCGACUCAAGGUUUCUGGCCAUCUCCAAGCUUUGCUCCAGUAUAUGCUAGCCUCCGGGGCCUGAUUCCAACCUUAUCCGACUUAGAUCAGCCCUUUUCCAAAGCCAUUCUCACCCUAGGGUUCCUCUGAAACCCUAACUAUUUGAGGUUUUUCUUCUAUUAUUUUUAGAUACGUUGUGUACCUAUGCUAUGCUUGAGUUUCCAAACGAUUUUCCUAAAUCUUUCUAUGAAAAUUACUUUCAAAAACCCUUCUUUGUCGAUUUAGGGUUUUCUGGAAAAUAUUUAGGAGUUUUAUGAUUUUUAUUCUUCUUUGUGUUGUCCUCUGUUGUACUGUGUUUUUUUCUAUAAUAUGUUCUUGUAGACUUCUCUCCUGUAUCUUAUCAUGUGUUUGUAUGUUUAUCGUACUUUGUUUUGCUAUAUGCUUUCCUGCUAUACCUUUAACGGUGGUUUUUUUUUACUAUACCUUUCUUGCUAAGUCCUUAUGGUUCUUUGUCUGCCUUCUAUUGAGCCUUGUUUAGGGUUCUGCUAAGCAUGUUUUUCCUGUUGUUCUUAUCAGUAUUCGCCGAUGUGUACUUUGAAUCUUUCUACUGUGAUUGCAUGUUACUCACGGUAAUAUUUGCUAGGUUCUCUCUACUCUUUUACUAUGUGUGAUUACCGUUAAGUUAUUUGAUUCUUGUUUACUGGACUCUGUUUAUGUUCUUACAUGCUUCAUCUACUUGUGUUCACGUUGUAUUAUCUCAUUCUCUUGAACUUGUUUAGGUUUCGAGUUUUCUCAGAAUAUGUUCCUUAUGAUUCUUCUUCCUUUGUCAUUCAACAUGCUAUCCUAUCAGCUUUGUUGAGACUCUGAAGGAAAUGGCUUGCUUCUAUGCUUGAUUCAAUUUUGAGACCUUAAGAUUUGGGGGUUCCUCUGAGGAUUUUGAUUCUUUCGAGUUAAGGCUCCGCUUUGGGACCCUGGACUCUCAGACUCACUAUGAGUCUGUAAAUUGAACUAGUAUCUCUUUGCUCAUGAUAUUUGAGUCUUUAUGAUUCUGAACUCCUCUCUCUUACAUGACUCGUCAGUCUCUUCUUGACGCACAUGUUUGUGUACCUUAUACAUGAGAAUUCUUCUUUCAAAAGGUUUUUCCAACUACUAAUUGAUUUUGAAUCCCUUUGAUGGUGUUUAUUUGAUUGUUCGUGAUUUUCCCUACGUGAACCUUACUUUCCCCUAUUUCUGACCUGUUUCAUUGGUAAUUUUCGAAUCCUUGAUUCCUUGAUUUACUACGUACUAAUUGAUUAUUGUGUUCUUACCUUAUUUGGGCUAACCGUGUAUUUUAAAGAUUUUUUCCUUAGUUAGACCCAUAUGUAUUUACCCCUAAUUUCCUACAUUACACAAGUUGUUCACUUGAUUUCUUUCCUUAACUUUUUGUUGUCCAUUACCAUUUGAUUUUAAACUCCUUAAUUAAAGGAAGUGCCUAUGUUGAUUGAUUGCAAUUGAUACAUAGUCCCAUAAUUACCAUGAUUCUCCCCUUACUUCUACCUAUUUUCAAACUAUAAAUACGCGACCCUCCUUUCACAAACACAGAACUGAAUAUACUUCAGACUUCAUACUUGCAAUUUUCACAAUCUCUUUUAAGUAUUCUUUGUCGGCACUUGGGUUUUCACAAGACUGCUACUUCCUCUUUGUUUAUAUCUUUAAACCGGUAUGUCUUAACUUAAUUCUCAGCAUAAUCCCAAUAUGUUUACAUUUAGUCUUUAUAUCUAUGUCUGUUACCUACAGAGUUUGACAUGUUCAUAUGCUUAUGUUAGCUUUACUUUCCCGCAAAUGCAAUAAAUCCCUACUCCCUACCCCUUUAUGUGUUUGAGCUAUGGUUUAAAACAUGGCAAUAUAUAAGUUGUUGUCCAUGGAUUAAAACCAUAUCUUCUGAAUCCUAGCCUCUAAAUAAUGUAACAGGCUUGUGGGGAUGUUAGCAUUCCCUAUUGUUUGGUAUGCCCACAACCUGCUCUUGUCUCUUUCAGCUUUCUCAUACAUCAUUCCCCUAUGUGUGCUGAGUUAAGGUAUAGCCUAGCAGCACCCAAAUUGCUGUCUAUGGCUGAACCUGGCCUUCAACAAGUUUUAACUCCUCAAUUUGAAUUGUCAAGCUGGUCAGGGGUGUGCCAGCACCGCAAAUUGCUAGGCAUGACCACCAGCUUGCCUCUUCCCCUUUUACUACACUUGCACUUACUCUUAGACCCUAAGUUCUGCCCUCCUCUUAUGAGCCCUGCCUUGGUAACCUUGAGUUUCCCUCUGAACUUGGACAUUUGAGGGCUGGCCUUUCCACACUGCACCAUAAUCCAAUUCUACAAUAUAUUUGGGUGUAAGCUCUGCCCAGAAUCCGUUUGAGAUUCUUAGGGAACUCUAACACAUCCCAAAUAAGAGACAGGCUUUGGAAAUCUAAUCUUGGGAGUUGGUUUACUUUAUGCUUCAGACAGAAGUCUGAGUCAGGCUCUCUUUGGCUGGGAUUGUUUAGUUUUCUGAUGUGUUUUAUUUUUCUUUAUUCAUUUGGGUAUGUAAUAAUCUGUAAUAAUCUAUAAUAAUAUGUAAUAACUAUGGGGUUAUAUUAAAAAGAGUAGGGUUAUUCAUGUAUGCAUAUGGGUAGAUAUCCUGCUUUAGGUAUUUACUUCUGCAAUCACAUCCUGCUCCUUCGCUUAUGGAUUACAUGUAGAAAUUCUGCCUAUAAGUUUGCAUGUAG
rnacentral:lncRNA from 1 species